CAAGAUAAGAUUUCCCUAGGACUUUAUGUCCUCUAAAGAGCCGUUCGAGACUAGGACGUUGAUAGGUUGGAUGUGGAAGCAUAGUGAUAUGUGAAGCUGACCAAUACUAAUUGCUCGUGAGGCUUGACUAUACAACACCCAAGCAGUUG
rnacentral:rRNA from 2 species